GGUUUCUAGCUUCUGGUUAUUAUGCAUAAAGCUUCUGGGAACAUAGUGGAGCAUCUUUUGAGUAUAUGCUCAGGAGUGGUAUGCCUGUAUCUUGAGGCAGAACAAUUCCAAAUAGUUAGGAGUCUGGAUCACCUGGAGGAGCAGCUAGUGCUCUUAACUGAUAAGGCAGAUAUUUUUCCAUCUUUAAGUCUCCUUGCUGAUAUAAAAAAAUUUCAGAAUUAAAAAUAUAGGAACUUUCAGUGUGGUAUUAUGGACUACAAUAGUAUGGAUUUUAAAAGUAUGUGAUAUUAUAGCAUUGCCUGAAUUUGCAUUUCACAGUUGCACAACUCUAUGCACAGAUUGAAAACUAAAGGAUUGACUCAAAAGUCAAUAUUUACUCACUCUUGAGAGUGUAAUGACAACAGACUCCAAAAGGAUUCCACUCAAAUCUAGCUGGCCAAAUCAAUGGCUUUUGAGGUUCGAUGGGAAAACAUCUGUAUCACCAAAAAACGCUCCCACAUGUCUGAUGACUCACCAAGCUUCAACCUUUGAGCUCCAGGGCUGAAGAAUAUCUCCUCCUUGCAACAUUCUGUAUAGCUUUUUAUACUUCACUGGCCCCUUGUGACUCAUCAGUUUCUUAGCUUCUUGAGAACUAUAAAUUCUGUGAGCAUCUGUAGUCUCAUGAGCUACCUCCUUCCCUCUGGGACAAAAUUUUUCAAUUUGGAGGAAACAGAUAUUCACAUUCCUCAGAAAAAUAAAUGAGAUAACUCUUUACUUUGACAAUGACCUGCUGUGUUGAGAUGCAAAAGAAAGAGAAACUGAGAAAUGACAAAGUUGGCUCAAAUACAACCACCUGUUCGUGACUUUACAUAUGCCUCUAAUAUAAACAUCUUUCCAUUUUAGACUCUGGGCUUUGAAUUCGCUAUGGCAUUGUCUUUUCUGUCUAGCUCCAGUAUUGCCCCAUUGGGAUAUUUUAGCCCUCACUGAACUUUAGCUCUUCCUUGAAACUUUUAAUGAAACAAUGAUUUAAACAUUUUGUGUAGAGAUUAUUAUAAUAGUAUAAUUUAUGUAAUAAAUAUACGCAACAUGUGCUCUUAGAAAUAUAUUUUUCCCCUAACUUUUGAAAUGUUCUUAUCACUAGGUUCCAUCCUAUGUUUUCUCGUAGUGGGCUGAGUUGCACUCUCAGUUUUAGUUGGCUGUUAUUGACAGACCCUUUGCAUCUCUUUAGAGCUGCCCUCCUAGUUUCAUUAACUUGGUAAAGUGUUUGCAUUUAGUGCUGAUCUCCUAAAUGAAAUAUAAAGCUAGCAAAAUCACUCUAUAUUUAUAUAAAGACAAAUGCAGAUAUUAGAAACUUUAGUUUUCAAUUGCUUUCUCUUUCUUUUGCUAAAAUUUCCAACAGGGAGUUUGAUGUGUUUUUCAAUUCAGUGUAGAUUUAUGUAUUUAAUCAUAUUAUAGCAUAUUAUUUAAUUAUAUUAUAGAGACAAAAAGGUAAAUUACACUUGUACAAGGAAACUCUAUUCUGAAAGUAUGGUUAUGCAAUAUAAGGUUUUCUUGCAUGUUUGGAAGGUACAGGAUAAUUUAUUAUCCUGAAAAAGAAUACAUUACACCAUGCUUUUUUAUUAUGAAAUAAUUAUAUAAAUUAGUCAGUGCCCUUAGGCAGGCACUUAACUUCCUAAUUGUAAAUAGAUUUCUCUCUGGCUGGUAGCUAAUCCUCCACCUAUUAGAAUUUUUUCCUAUUUAAAACUUUUAUUUAAUAUUUCUUCAGUGAGUCUGAAUUAUGCAUAAGACAUAAUCACAGGACAUUCAUUUGUAGCCAGACUAUUUUCUUGUGUAGGUAUGCAAAGUCUAAUCUUGCUUGAUAACUUCAACAAACUUGGGAAGAAGAAGCCAAAAUUGAUUUUUUUUUCCUUGAUUUAAACAGCCCAUGGACAUAUCUGUGGGGUAAUUUCUUGGUUGCUAAUUGAUAAAGGCUAGCAACUCUGUGGGUUGUGCCACCCUGAAAAGGUGGCCCUAGGUUGAAGAAGGAGACUAGUAAGCAAGCCAUUGAUAAAGAGAGCUAUUAGCCUUCCUAUAUAAAGGCUUUAUUUUCUACAUUUGGGUAUCUGCUAUGGCUUGCAUAGAUGGUGGAUUACAUGAAAUAGAUCCAAUAUGUUCUUCCCUUUCCUAAAUUGCUUUUGAACAGUGUGUUUAUUACAGGAAAAUACAAGCAAACUUGUACAGUCUACAAAAGAUGCAUGGUCAUUCACUAAUGAUAUAGACAUCUAUGGGAGUCUCUGUCUUAUAAGGAGGACUAGUUACUGUUAAGAAUUAAUGGAUUGGAGAACAGACCAUCUUCUUUUAGAAGGUAGAUAGCUGCACUGUCUUAGAUGUGUAUUAUAUCAAAUAUCCUAGCAAAAGUGUCAAUGGUUUCAGAACAACUUUAAUAUAGUAUAACAACAGAAUGCUGUUAAAAGAUAAAUAUUCAACUACAUUUUAAAAAAAUUAAUCUCCGUGUAUUUACUCUGGAAAGAGUGCCAGCAAGAAUUCCAUUGAUUUCACAUCCUUUUCUGAUGUUCCUCUUCUGGAUAUUGUUUGUCAUACUGUUAGAAUUUCAUUAAUUUGGAAGGUGAAAUGUGAGGGAAUAUAAUAAUUGAAAAUGGUAUAAUUUGAUUAAAUUAUAUUUGUGUUAAACUCAAACCAGUGAAAUGUGCCAAAAUCAAUGAUUACACUGAAUUUACUAUCACUGUUUGUUUCUGAUAAAAUAAACCAGAUCAUUCCUGUUUGGAGUCACUGUCCUU
rnacentral:lncRNA from 1 species